rnacentral:pre_miRNA from 1 species
GAUUUCAACUGAAAAAGUUAUCAACAACAAAGUUUUAUAACUCAUCAAGAUCUAUAACUUUUAUUUUGGUUGUUUCUUCAUCCGACAAAGUGAUAGUAACAUUGUUCAUAAAAUUUACAUCUAUCUUAUAUAAAAUUUACAUCUAUCUUAUUUGGUUCUAUAAACUAUAAGAGAGAAGUAAACUUUGUGAACAAUGUUACUAUCACUUUAUCGGAUGAAGAAAUGACCAAAAUAAAAGUUGUAUGUCUUGAUGAGCUCUACAACUUUUAUGUUCAUGACUUUUUCAGCUGAAAUU